rnacentral:rRNA from 1 species
GAUGCAGCGACGCCGCGUGAGGGAUGACGGCCUUCGGGUUGUAAACCUCUUUCAGUAGGGAAGAAGCGAGAGUGACGGUACCUGCAGAAGAAGCGCCGGCUAACUACGUGCCAGCAGCCGCGGUAAUACGUAGGGCGCAAGCGUUAUCCGGAUUUAUUGGGCGUAAAGAGCUCGUAGGCGGUUUGUCGCGUCUGCCGUGAAAGUCCGAGGCUCAACCUCGGAUCUGCGGUGGGUACGGGCAGACUAGAGUGAUGUAGGGGAGACUGGAAUUCCUGGUGUAGCGGUGAAAUGCGCAGAUAUCAGGAGGAACACCGAUGGCGAAGGCAGGUCUCUGGGCAUUUACUGACGCUGAGGAGCGAAAGCAUGGGGAGCGAACAGGAUUAGAUACCCUGGUAGUCCAUGCCGUAAACGUUGGGCACUAGGUGUGGGGGACAUUCCACGUUUUCCGCGCCGUAGCUAACGCAUUAAGUGCCCCGCCUGGGGAGUACGGCCGCAAGGCUAAAACUCAAAGGAAUUGACGGGGGCCCGCACAAGCGGCGGAGCAUGCGGAUUAAUUCGAUGCAACGCGAAGAACCUUACCAAGGCUUGACAUGUGCCAGACCGGAUCAGAGAUGGUCUUUCCCUUCGGGGCUGGUUCACAGGUGGUGCAUGGUUGUCGUCAGCUCGUGUCGUGAGAUGUUGGGUUAAGUCCCGCAACGAGCGCAACCCUCGUUCCAUGUUGCCAGCACGUAGUGGUGGGGACUCAUGGGAGACUGCCGGGGUCAACUCGGAGGAAGGUGGGGAUGACGUCAAAUCAUCAUGCCCCUUAUGUCUUGGGCUUCACGCAUGCUACAAUGGCCCGGUACAAUGGGUUGCGAUACUGUGAGGUGAGC